rnacentral:lncRNA from 1 species
CUUAUAUAGGCUGGUGGGUGCGGCGCCGCCAGCUGGCGCGAGGCUGCGCGCCUAUUGGCCGGCACCCGCUUUCUGAUGUAAAUGAGGCGGCGAGCCAGCGGCUCGUGCCAGAAGGCCACGUGGGGAGGGGUGCGGGGGAUGACAAUGCCUCAAAUCUGCCGCUUUUGUUGGGGUGUUACCAGGCAGACUGGAGCCUGCAGAUUUCAUCUCGCCUGGCUUUUUUUUUUUUUUGAAGUCCUUAAAAGGAAAAAGUAAAAAAAAAAAAAAAAGAAAAAACCCAACCCACAAAAACCUUGUUUGCUUAUAUGAUGCUGCAAUUUGCGAAAAGCACCUUUAUAGAAGCAAAGGGAUUUUUUUUUGCAUUUUGUAUUGCUACCUUUCUAUUUGUUUCUUUUCUUUAAUUUGAAGUCUAUGAGACUGUUGCAUUGGAGCCAGAAAUUAAGGUAAAAACAGGUAGCGCCAGUUAGAGGCUUGCAAAAGGCAGUGGGCACAGCCCCCUGCAGCUGACCACUAGCGUCCCGAGCGCGCUGGUGAUGCCUGCCAGGCAUACUCAAUGUGUACAUUGAGCCGUCUCUGGAAGAUCCCACCCCACCUCCCCGCCCUUGGCCGAGCGCGGCGGGGCGCGGGAGACGGGGGCGGGCGGGGACGAGCAGAUUGCGGCCGGCGCACGCCGCUCGUUUGCAUUUCUAUGGAGGGCGCACAAUAGCAGAGGUCUGGCGUGUGGCGGUUUGCUGUAGGGACAAUCGAGGCUUUCUCUUCAUAGCAACACUGUCCACCUGCCGCCGGGUGGGGUGGGCAGGACCCCGCCGCGCGUGGGGGUCGCCGGGCUGCCUGGCGCGUGGGGUCGAGGCUGAGUGCCACUCCGUGGUCCCUGAGUGCACGCCCCCAGUACUGGCCCUGCUACAAGUAAUUCCCUUCCAUCCGUUCCUCGCACGGGUGCCGAACAGCCGCGCGAGUUGGGAAGGACGGAGAGCUGCUGUGCAGUCUUCGCGGCUGGACGCCCUGUGGCCGGGACCCCGCGGCUGCAGCCCCUGGAGCUUAGGUAAUGCAGCUCGGAAUCUUUCCCGGGGCGCCAUCUGCAGGCAGGUUAAAAAGAUCCUGAACCCCUUUUGUCCUCCCCUCCCCCCAACACACACACCCUUGCAUUGGCCUGGCGCGGGGGAAGGGCGGUGGAGAGGGACGGCCACGGAGCUGCCCGGCCGGGCCCAGUGAGCCCUGUCCAAGCUGCGCAUAAAUAGAACCCGAGUAAGGGCUGCAAAACGCAUUCAGGUGGGACUGCAGUUACCCUGGGGAGUAGAGGGCAAAAGGAAAUUCCCAUCCAGUACUGAUGGAGUAAGAGCCCCUACGUCUUAUACCAUGUUGAAAUAUCUUAAUUACUUAAAUGCGCAUAUGUAAAAAGCCUUUUUUCCGGCAAUGGAAUAAGUCUGGAAGAGAUCUUGGGAGAGUUUAAUAGGCUAGAGGUUGCUGCCGUUUGACCAUACACGCUGGCACUUUCAGAGGAUUCACCCACUGAGCACCUUCUGUGCUACGUGAAAAGGCGCGCUGGGGGACACCUCAUUGCUUCCUUUUUUUGGGUGAAGCCUUGGAGACUGGCCAGGACAGUGGCGGGCCGGGUGGAUUGGAUGGAAACCCGGGCCCUGCCGCAAGACUGGGGCGAUAAUGGGAAAGUAAACAACGCCGUGGCUUUGUUCCUUUCAUUCAGGCUUUCUUCAGGUGCAUCUCAGAUGCCUUCCAGCAUGUGAAGGACACCAUUGCAUUGGCUCUCACCACCACCAUGCCCUCCUCCUUACCCAGGGUGAAGCAUGAAUCUGCACAUGGGGAGGCUUCAGAGGACAACUGAGACAAGAAGCAGGAAGCUGAGAAAGGAGGACACCUCCCACACACACAUCUAGCAAAAGCUGGACAUUUCUGGUCAGUCAUCCUUAUGCAAAGACUUUCUGGAAGGAGCAGUUAUUCUUGGGUGAGCACUUAUGUAGCAUGAAAGAGGUUAACAUUAGCCCAGGGAAAUCCUUCAAAGUAAUUGAGGGGGAAGGAUACAUUAUUUAUGCAUUUGUUCCCUUCUCUAUCGACAGUAAGAAAUGAUUCAUGGCACCUGUCACAGUCCUAGGUAGUGACAGACACCAGCCUGCACUGUAGCUGAAAACCCCUGAGAAGCCACAGAUGUGCAGUCUUCCCAGCUUGACUACAUGCCCAAGUCUUCUGAACCUUAGUUUCCCAACCUAGGAAAUAAAAAUUGUGCCCUUUACCCCUCAUGAACCUUAUUGGGGUCUUAUAAGAUUGCUCCUGGUUGCCAUUUGGCCCACAGAUGGGUUUAGUUUGGUGGACAGUGUCCCGAAAGACUUACAAAUUCAGAUCUGACUUGUUCAUUUGUGUAGGGGAGAGUUGGUGGCACACAUCCUCUCUGUCACUGUAAGUAUGUUCCAAAUGUCACAUUAGGUCCACUGGCACGUGUAAGCCCUGUCUGGCAUUUGCCUGGUCCCUGCAGGCAUUUGGGUUGGCAGUAAACUUUCUUUUCUAACAGAUUUCUGGAAAUGUUUACAUGUAGCAUAUAAUAGAAUAAUAGAACCACAGAACUUCCACAGUAAAGCCUUCCUUCUUUUAUGUUCCAAAAGCUAAAAUGUACUAACAACCUCCAAAAGGCACUAUGACAUUGGAGUUUAAACUUUGUGGAGCAGGACUCAAAGCUGGACUUAGCUGCUUGCUAACUUUGACCUUGAGUGAAGAGUUAGCAGAUGAUUUAAAGUGUAAAGUAGAAAGAAUUCAUGCUGGUUAGCCCAUUAAAUACCCGUUAAUUAAGCUCUCCAAAAACGCCAUUCAAAAAUGUAUAUGAUAAUCAAAUAUUUAUUGCAAUGUUUCUUAAAAUAGUGAAAAAUUAGAAAACAUUAUAGGGGGCUAGUGUUAAAUCAUGGUGUAACCAGAAAUGAAACAUUAUGCAACCAUAAAAAGGAGUUCUGAAGAGUAGUUCCCGGCAUGAUAUAAUGUGAAAAAAAGCAAAAUACGAAAUUGUGCAAUUCUAAUUUUGCAAAAACUUUCAGCGUACACGACUAUCACUGUAUAAAGUCACAAAGUAGGAAUGGUGAUUGUAUCUUGGAGUGAUGAGAUUAUAAGUGAUUUUUAAUUUUCUUCACUAUGCUUUACUGCAAUUAAACAUUUACAAUUCAAUUUUAUUUAACAAAAAUAUAUAAAACUUCUCAAAUGGAGUAACUUCAGUACCAGACAUCCUCAACCUGACUGCUCUGGAGGUUAUUGUGCAGAGCAAUCUUUGACCAUAUGGUCACAGAUCCAGAAGCCAGACGUCUGUGGGGCUUUGCUCCUGAGACUGUGACCUUUGAUUCCUGCACUCCUCCUCUUGCCAUCUGACGCCGGUCUGCGCCUGUGACUGAGUGAAAAUCGUCAUAACUGUACUCGGAGGUUAACUCUGGCAUGACUGGGAUGGAAUCCCAGGCAACAUGCUGGAGGCAGGAAAGAAGGCCAGCCGGCAAGUCAGAACCAAACACCCUGGACGGCACCUUUCCUUACAAAUGCGGUUCACAGGACCCUUGGGGAUCCUCUGCGCACACUGAGGCAAGCAGCAAUGGAAGAAAUUAUCUUCCACUCCCUUCUUGUUGAAAAUGUCUGUUUUCCAGAAAUGAAUUACAGUAAUAGAUUAUGAAAAUUGUUUCCAUUGCCUACAUAACACAGCAGGGAAUUCUAAAAUUUCAAAACAUGUAAUAUACUCAACCUGUGCUUGAGACUGUAGGGUAUUAUUUAAUUUUUCAGUGUUUGAAUUUUGUCUGUUUGAGAAGGGUGUGGCACUCCUUGAGUACACUAUUAGUAGUAUUGUUGUUAUUUUAUUUACUAGACUUUUCCAGGACUUGCUGUGCACCAAGCACUGUUCCAAGCACUUUGAAAACAUUG